GCGGGGGUACCCAAGCCAGGACCAAAUAGAGGGAUCAGAACCCCUCUAGGGUAAGGGGGAGGACUUAAGAUCCUCUGGCGUAGGCCCUCGUGGGUUCAAAUCCCACCCCCCGCACCA
rnacentral:tRNA from 1 species